AUUGAACGCUGGCGGCAGGCCUAACACAUGCAAGUCGAGCGGAUGAAGGGAGCUUGCUCCUGGAUUCAGCGGCGGACGGGUGAGUAAUGCCUAGGAAUCUGCCUGGUAGUGGGGGAUAACGUCCGGAAACGGGCGCUAAUACCGCAUACGUCCUGAGGGAGAAAGUGGGGGAUCUUCGGACCUCACGCUAUCAGAUGAGCCUAGGUCGGAUUAGCUAGUUGGUGGGGUAAAGGCCUACCAAGGCGACGAUCCGUAACUGGUCUGAGAGGAUGAUCAGUCACACUGGAAGUGAGACACGGUCCAGACUCCUACGGGAGGCAGCAGUGGGGAAUAUUGGACAAUGGGCGAAAGCCUGAUACAGCCAUGCCGCGUGUGUGAAGAAGGUCUUCGGAUUGUAAAGCACUUUAAGUUGGGAGGAAGGGCAGUAAGUUAAUACCUUGCUGUUUUGACGUUACCAACAGAAUAAGCACCGGCUAACUUCGUG
rnacentral:rRNA from 1 species